GAUGAACGCUGGCGGCGUGCCUAAUACAUGCCAGUCGAGCGAACGGACGAGAAGCUUGCUUCUCUGAUGUUAGCGGCGGACGGGUGAGUAACACGUGGAUAACCUACCUAUAAGACUGGGAUAACUUCGGGAAACCGGAGCUAAUACCGGAUAAUAUUUUGAACCGCAUGGUUCAAAAGUGAAAGACGGUCUUGCUGUCACUUAUAGAUGGAUCCUCGCUGCAUUAGCUAGUUGGUAAGGUAACGGCUUACCAAGGCAACGAUGCAUAGCCGACCUGAGAGGGUGAUCGGCCACACUGGAACUGAGACACGGUCCAGACUCCUACGGGAGGCAGCAGUAGGGAAUCUUCCGCAAUGGGCGAAAGCCUGACGGAGCAACGCCGCGUGAGUGAUGAAGGUCUUCGGAUCGUAAAACUCUGUUAUUAGGGAAGAACAUAUGUGUAAGUAACUGUGCACAUCUUGACGGUACCUAAUCAGAAAGCCACGGCUAACUACGUG
rnacentral:rRNA from 1 species